GGGGUGGUAGCGAAGCUGGUUAUCGCGCUGGCCUGUCACGCCGGAGAUCGCGGGUUCAAGUCCCGUCCACCUCG
rnacentral:tRNA from 2 species